UCGGCAUACUGCUCAGUAACACGUGGAUAACCUGCCCUAUCGUCUGGAAUAACCUCGGGAAACUGAGAAUAAGGCCGGAUAGUUCACAAUGCCUGGAACGGUUUGUGAAUCAAGGUAGGAUGGGUCUGCGGCGUAUCAGGUUGUAGGGGGUGUAAAGGACCCCCUAGCCUUCGACGCAUACGGGUGUUGGGAGACAUAGCCCGGAGAUGGAUUCUGAGACACGAAUCCAGACCCUACGGGGUGCAGCAGGCGCGAAAACUUCACACUGCAGGAAACUGUGAUGAGGGAACUCCUAGUGCAUGCACUAUGUGUAUGUAGAUCCUACUCUUAACAAGUAGAGGGAAAGGGCUGGGAAAGACCGGUGCCAGCCGCCGCGGUAAUACCGGCAGCUCAAGUGGUCGUCGCUUUUAUUGGGCCUAAAACGUCCGUAGCCUGUUUGGUAAAUCUGUGGGUAAAUCAAUCCGCUCAACGGAUUGAAUUCUGCAGAGACUGCCAGACUAGGGACCGGGAGAGGUGUGGGGUACUCGAGGGGUAGGGGUAAAAUCCUGUCAUCCUUCGAGGACCACCAGUUGCGAAGGCGCCACACUGGAACGGAUCCGACGGUCAGGGACGAAGCCUAGGGGCACGAACCGGAUUAGAUACCCGGGUAGUCCUAGGUGUAAACGCUGUGAACUUGGUGUCGGGGGUCCGCAAGGGGUCCCCGGUGCCGGAGUGAAGAUGUUAAGUUCACUGCCUGGGGAGUACGGUCGCAAGGCUGAAACUUAAAGGAAUUGGCGGGGGAGCACUGCAACGGGAGGAGCGUGCGGUUUAAUU
rnacentral:rRNA from 1 species